UAGGGAAUAUUGGACAAUGGGGGCAACCCUGAUCCAGCCAUGCCGCGUGAGUGAAGAAGGCCCUCGGGUUGUAAAGCUCUUUUGUCCGGAAAGAAAAGCUUCGGGUUAAUACCCCGGGGUUCUGACGGUACCGGAAGAAUAAGCACCGGCUAACUUCGUGCCAGCAGCCGCGGUAAUACGAAGGGUGCAAGCGUUACUCGGGAUUACUGGGCGUAAAGCGUGCGUAGGUGGUUGUUUAAGUCUGAUGUGAAAGCCCUGGGCUCAACCUGGGAAUGGCAUUGGAAACUGGGCAGCUAGAGUGCGGUAGAGGGUAGUGGAAUUCCCGGUGUAGCAGUGAAAUGCGUAGAGAUCGGGAGGAACAUCUGUGGCGAAGGCGACUGCCUGGACCAGCACUGACACUGAGGCACGAAAGCGUGGGGAGCAAACA
rnacentral:rRNA from 1 species